rnacentral:lncRNA from 1 species
GAAUAAAGGUGAGAUAUAGAAGUACAUCAUCACUGAAUAAGUGACUCAUCUGUUGAGUACUCUACUGUCAAGAACAGCUCGUAAAAUAUAUGGACAUAAGUAUCACUUAGAUCUGAGAUCACCAUAGUGACUUGCAAGCAACUCAAUAUAUUUUGAUGUCAGACUACCUGCUUUUCUAAUGCAGUGACAGAAGGCUACUGGAUACAGUCAAGUACUUAUAAAGUUUGUGUAUGGAUCAAGAUUGGAUUAAUCUCUCUGAAUUAUAGGAGUUAAUACAUUACUGUAUUUCAAUUUAGUAAAAUCUUGACUAGAGUAAUCUAUAUGAUGGAUUUAAAAGAUUAAAAUACGAUGUGGAUAAUUAUUUUAGGGUUGACAGUUAAAUCCUAGGUCACUUUGAGCAUUAGGAUUGAAGGGAUGAAUUAUGCGAUAAUCAUAUAUCAAGGUUCUUGAAUAUUACUUUGUAAUUAUUCUACUUAUCCGGACGUCGGAUAUCAUUGCUAGAUGGUUACUUUGAUUAAAUAUAGGAAAGAGUUCCUAUGCUACCGGGUUAGUAUUCGAACCUACGAAGUCGCAUACAAAAAUCAAAUAAUAUAGAAAAAAAUUGACUGAAUAUUUAUAUAUUCCAUUUGAAAGUAUUAGACUUGAUUAAACAUAUAGAUUAACUUAAUUAAGAAUUAAAAUGUAGGUCAUAUGGAAUUAAUGUUCAGC